GCUGGAUUCUCUAAAAAUGAAGAAAUCAGAAUUUAAUAGGGUCUUCAGAUAUGAAAUUGAUGAUGAAAAUUGGAACCCUUCUUACAUGAUGGCAGAUCACAUUGAGGAUUUGAAAAAAAAAUAUCCGAGAACUGCGUGAUGUUUUUGAUGCUGAAGUUCAAAAACUUGAAGCAGAUAGAUACCAACUUGGAACAGAGAUUGCAACCACAGGUGAUAAUUCAUGGCCAUUGCCUGUUAACCUCAUGAGGCUUAUUUGGAAUGCACAAAAAACUUUCAAGGUUGAUACAAGAAGGCCAUCAGACAUUCAUCCAAUGGAAGCAGUAGAAGCUGUUGAUAAGUUGCAAGAGAGAUUGAAAGUUGUUCCUGGGGAGGAUCCGUUGAGUGUGGAAGCCCAAAAGAAUGCCACUCUUUUCUUUGGAAUUUUGCUUCGCAGCACUCUUGCUAGUAAAAGGGUGUUGGAAGAAUACAGGCUCACUCGUGAAGCAUUUGAUUGGGUUAUUGGUGAGAUUGAAUCACGGUUCUUACAGUCAUUGGUGGCCCCUGGAGAAAUGAUAGGUUGUGUUGCUGCACAGUCAAUUGGAGAACCUGCCACCCAAAUGACUCUGAAUACCUUCCACUAUGCUGGUGUUAGUGCAAAGAAUGUCACUCUUGGUGUUCCCAGGCUAAGGGAAAUUAUUAAUGUUGCUAAAAAAAUUAAAACUCCUUCUCUUUCUGUCUUCUUGGUUCCUGAGUGUAAUAAAACAAAAGAGAAGGCUAAGAGUGUUCAGUGUGCCUUAGAAUACACCACUCUCCGGAGUGUUACCCAAGCUACUGAAGUAUGGUAUGAUCCAGAUCCCAUGAGUACCAUAAUUGAAGAGGAUGUUGAUUUUGUGAAGUCCUAUUAUGAAAUGCCAGAUGAAGAGGUUGCACCGGAAAAAA
rnacentral:misc_RNA from 1 species